UCUCAAUGCUCUGUCACUGAAACAAAAUACAGAAAUAGGGUCUACAUAAGAUAACUUCUGUCUUCUGUAAACCUAGUCUCAAAUGUUUGUUUAUGAAAAUAAUUUUAUUUUGAAUGACUUAACUGCUUAAGUGUGACAUCCCAUGCCUUCUGUUAAUAUAUGGGGCUUUGAUGUUGUCGUUUUUAAGGGUUGGGGAGGUGUAGCUAAGAAGAAGUUAACCAACACCACUUUCUUUCUGUAGCUUAUUUGCCUCUCUUCAAAGUCAAGUUUUAGAGGCUUAUGUGUAUUGUGUGUUUCUUUUUACAUGUAUUAUUUUGAUACUGAUUAUAUCACGAGGACCACGUAACUUUGUGUUUGCAUUGCUAUAGAAAGUUUAGAGAGUUAAUAUUUCUGUUAUCUUAAAUGGUCCUCUUUUUUUCAUAUUUACUCAUAAACUUAACUGCUUACAAAUUAUCUCUGAUAGAAGUGCUCUCAAAUUAUACUCUUUGUAUUUGGUUUUAGACUACUGUAUGAUAUUUGAUUUUUAUUUCUAGUUUAAGUUACAAUUAAAAUUAGUCUGAAUUUGAGUAGAAUAUGACUUACACUACUUGGUCAACAAAUUGAGCAUGUUCGACGGUCCAGGAAGAAAAAAGGAGCGAUCAGUACUCAACAUUGGCUCCAAAUAACCCA
rnacentral:lncRNA from 10 species